GACGAACGCUGGCGGCGUGCUUAACACAUGCAAGUCGAACGGUGAAGGGACUGGUUUUGCUGGUCCUGGAUGAGUGGCGAACGGGUGAGUAACACGUGAGUAACCUGCCCCCUUCUUCUGGAUAACCGCAUGAAAGUGUGGCUAAUACGGGAUAUUCUGGGUCUGUCGCAUGGUGGGCCUGGGAAAGAUUGCGCCCUUUUUGGUGUUUUUGGUGGGGGAUGGGCUCGCGGCCUAUCAGCUUGUUGGUGGGGUGAUGGCCUACCAAGGCGGUGACGGGUAGCCGGCCUGAGAGGGUGGACGGUCACACUGGGACUGAGACACGGCCCAGACUCCUACGGGAGGCAGCAGUGGGGAAUAUUGCACAAUGGGCGCAAGCCUGAUGCAGCGACGCCGCGUGAGGGAUGGAGGCCUUCGGGUUGUGAACCUCUUUCGCCAGUGAAGCAGGCCUGCCUCUUUUUGUGGGUGGGUUGACGGUAGCUGGAUAAGAAGCGCCGGCUAACUACGUG
rnacentral:rRNA from 1 species